GCAACUCCCCUGUCGAGCCGCCGCCUCCUCUCUCCCUUCUCUCACGUCUUCCUCGCCUUCGACAGCCGCGCCCGGAGGAGGUCGUCACCGGCGCCCGCAUCCUCGGCUCCCCGCUGCCGAUUUUCCCCGCAAUUAGCCCCCACCCUUCUCCUGCCUCGAGCCCCGGUCCCUUUUCUUUUCCUCUCCCAAAACGCACAAAUAUCUCCAUCAGGAGGAGGCAGCAGAGCAGCUGCCAGGGGCUGGGAAGAUGAGGCGGAGGAGAAGGUGGAGCGGAUGAGAAGGAGGAGGGGAUGCCUCUGGCCGUGCACCUCGAGGGUUGAUUGGGUGGGAGGAGAAGGCGGUGGCGGCAACUUCGAGCUGUGAUCUAUUACCGGCGCCGCCACAGGCACGGAUGAUAGGAUCUGAGGGCGACUGGUUCUUCCCAACGGCCUCCCCGACUUCGUCGUCGAGGCCCCGGACGGCGCCGACCCCUACCCCCCACGCCCCCCACUGCCAGUCUCCGCGGCCUACCCUAGGCUCUCCGACCGGCUGCUCCGCGCCGCCCACAGGCUCAACGGCGUGGGUGUAUGUGGCACACACCAGAGGAAGAGCUUGUAGGCUCUGCACUGCGGGACUAGAUGAUGGAUGUGAAUGCGAGCAGCAAGCUAUCAAGUUAGAAUCCCUUGCUUUUGUUAGGUAGUCAAUCUGCGGACCAGCUGGGUAUGACUGCAUUUGGGUGUUUGUUUUGGCAUCUCUUUCCA